GCGAAAAAACCCGUCUUGGACUGGCAACGUGCGAACGAGCGAGCGAAGCCUCUAGGUCCCUUCGCCGUUGCCCUCGCACAUCAAGCCGCCGCCCUCGCCCUCGCCCUUGCAGCUGCCGCCGAUCCCCUCCCCCAUCUUCCUCCCUCAAACGCUAGCCCAUCUCGCGGUGCGCCACCGCCCGUCGCGCCCAGAUCCAGUGGCGGCUGUCGCCCCACCUCCAGCCGCGACCGCCCCACCUCCAGCCGCGGCCGCCGCCCCCACGUCCCACCGCGGCCGCUGCCCGCGCCAACGACCCCUUCCCCCGCCACCGCGCCAUGGGUCUACUUCGCCAUGAGCUCCAGCGCCGACCAUCCCGCCGCUGCUCGUGAUCCCCUCUUCCAUCAGCUCCACUUCACCAGAACCGAAAAUCAGCCAAGAUACACAACAAACAUAUCAGCCGCAGCUAGCUGCUAUGCGCACAUGUGCAAAAACAAACUUAUUAAUCCUUUGCCGCAGACAAUACUGAAGCACUAACACAAACAAGAUCCUUCUGAAGAUAGUGUCUGAAUGCAAAUGAUCAUGACUUAUGAAUUUGGAGCCAUGGCCCAUGUGUAGGCAAGGGCAAUGAUCCCUUUUACUACUUGAGCGGUCCAAUAGAGAUUAUUGAAGGUUGUUUCUGAAGUUGUGAUUGACUGGAACCAAAGAAAAGUUGGAGACAUUUUUGGUGUGAAUUGCUUGGAUUAAGUGGGAGUGAAGAUGUUCUUUCUGUCUAUAUAUGGUUCUAUUAUUGGCAAAUUUGUGCCUUCGAGAUUGCUGCAAGUGUUUGUGUUCCCGAGCUGAAAAUUUAGAUUAUUACCAUGUUUGGUCUCCUGAAUAUAAAUCAUGAUUCUUUGCAUCUCAAUUGCAGACCAACAGACCUUUCCGUCCUCAUAUUCCCCGGAUUCGUUUUCUGCGAUCGAGCGCCCGAGCGGUUGCAUCUUGACGGCAGUUCCCUUUACAACCGAGUUAGCUUUAUACUAUGAGCAGUGAGCAAGUCAUGUAUAAAGCAAAAACAAAGUAUUAGUCUGCUAUCAAAUGGUACAUUUAUUUGAACUCUAAGGGCAGGUCCAGGGUCUCAUGAAGAGGGCAUGUGUUUGUAUUAGGUGAGAUCUGAACUGAUUCUGACCAAUGUGAAAUUAAUUUUGUUGUUGAUGGAUCUGCAAUUAUUUUUAUGUGCACAGAAGUGUCGUAGUUGAGAAGCCUGAGAAGAAUAUAUCACUUAGAUCAGAAGGUUUUGCAGUUGACAAGCUUACAGGUUUGAGCACCCCGAACAACGGGGUGGGCCCUUUGACCUGUGGGUUUUGCUGGUACCAAGAGAAGGAGGUUCCUUUUAACCUGCAGGAGCUCUGCCAAUGGCAGCGUGCUUUCCUUGACAAUGACGUGGUACUGCACGUACGCAAGAUGCAGCGAGUGAAAUCGGCGCAAGAGGGCAUCUUGCAAGCAGCACCAAAUCCUAUAUUAUGGGACCGAAUGUCUUAACUUGAUAAAAGGACUUUAUAUCGAAUGUGUUUGUGCGACUGAAGAUGAGGCAUGCUUUAUUUGAAAAAUUAUAUUGAGUGUGUUUGUGCGACUGGAGAUGGAGGAUGGCUUGUGCUCUCGCUUGUGCGGUUACCACGGUGCUCCGGCCAUUAUGAAGAGAAUUAAGCAUGAAGGAGGAAGAUACCAGCACCAGCCCCAGCAAUAAAGACUGCGGCAACGGCGACGGUAGUGUGUCCCGGCGAGCGUGAGCAAUGGCAGCAUCAUCUCUGACUCUGAGUACCUGACCAAGACGCUGCCCAGGUCACAUGUCAAGGACUUCCUCUUGGACGAUGCCGCCUCCUUGGCUGUUGUUGUUGUCUCCUCAAAUAAGUCGUAUCAGGUAGAGCUGAGGAUCAAGGAUUAAGUAUAAACGCAAUGGAGCCCGUUGUAUAACAACGCAGAGCCGAAGGAGAUGCUAUUUUAUUGUUGCCUUAUCUUUGUCGAUGCAGUCGAAUAUGGGUCUAUUCUGGUGCCCUGUCUUCAUCGUAGCGUGUGUAUGUAACAUGGGGGCCGCCGUGAGUAUAGAUCGUCUAGACUACCUUUUCUGGGCUACUAAAAUAUACAAAGAGACAUCAAGGUCAGAAAUCAAUUAGGGAGGCACUAACAUUAUGCCUUGAUUCAGAUGUUGUAAAAAAAUGCCUUGAUUCAGAUGGUUCCAUCAAUUUUUUGCAUUUAUUAUGGAUAAUUUGUAUUA